rnacentral:rRNA from 1 species
GACGAACGCUGGCGGCGUGCUUAACACAUGCAAGUCGAACGGAAAGGCCCCUUUGGGGGUACUCGAGUGGCGAACGGGUGAGUAACACGUGAGUAACCUGCCCCUGACUUCGGGAUAACUUCAGGAAACUGGGGCUAAUACCGGAUAGGAAUCCUUGCUGCAUGGUGGGGGUUGGAAAGCUUCGGCGGUUUUGGAUGGACUCGCGGCUUAUCAGCUUGUUGGUGGGGUAGUGGCUUACCAAGGCUUUGACGGGUAGCCGGCCUGAGAGGGCGACCGGCCACAUUGGGACUGAGAUACGGCCCAGACUCCUACGGGAGGCAGCAGUGGGGAAUAUUGCACAAUGGGCGGAAGCCUGAUGCAGCAACGCCGCGUGCGGGAUGACGGCCUUCGGGUUGUAAACCGCUUUCAGCAGGGGCGAAGCUUGUGGUGACGGUACCUGCAGAAGAAGCACCGGCUAACUACGUG